UGAUGGCGACCGGCGCACGGGUGAGUAACGCGUAUCCAACCUGCCCUUGUCCAUCGGAUAACCCGUCGAAAGGCGGCCUAACACGAUAUGCAGUUCUCCGCAGGCAUCUAACGAGAACGAAAUGUGAAGGAGAAGGAUGGGGAUGCGUCUGAUUAGCUUGUUGGCGGGGUAACGGCCCACCAAGGCGACGAUCAGUAGGGGUUCUGAGAGGAAGGUCCCCCACAUUGGAACUGAGACACGGUCCAAACUCCUACGGGAGGCAGCAGUGAGGAAUAUUGGUCAAUGGGCGAGAGCCUGAACCAGCCAAGUAGCGUGCAGGAUGACGGCCCUAUGGGUUGUAAACUGCUUUUAUGCGGGGAUAAAGUGAGCCACGUGUGGCUUAUUGCAGGUACCGCAUGAAUAAGGACCGGCUAAUUCCGUGCCAGCAGCCGCGGUAAUACGGAAGGUCCGGGCGUUAUCCGGAUUUAUUGGGUUUAAAGGGAGCGUAGGCCGUCUGGUAAGCGUGUUGUGAAAUGUCGGGGCUCAACCUGGGCAUUGCAGCGCGAACUGUCAGACUUGAGUGCGCGGGAAGUAGGCGGAAUUCGUCGUGUAGCGGUGAAAUGCUUAGAUAUGACGAAGAACUCCGAUUGCGAAG
rnacentral:rRNA from 1 species